rnacentral:rRNA from 1 species
CACGUAGGGGGCGAGCGUUAUCCGGAAUUACUGGGCGUAAAGAGUGCGUAGGUGGCUUUGCAAGCGUAGGGUAUAAGGCGACAGCCCAACUGUCGUUGGCCCCGCGAACUGUAAGGCUUGAGUACAGGAGGGGAAGGCGGAAUUCCUAGUGUAGCGGUGAAAUGCGUAGAUAUUAGGAGGAACACCAGUGGCGAAGGCGGCCUUCUGGACUGUAACUGACACUGAGGCACGAAAGCGUGGGUAGCAAACAGGAUUAGAUACCCUGGUAGUCCACGCCGUAAACGAUGAGCACUAGGUGUCGGGCUCGCAAGAGUUCGGUGCCGGAGCAAACGCAUUAAGUGCUCCGCCUGGGGAGUACGCACGCAAGUGUGAAACUCAAAUGAAUUGACGGGG